rnacentral:rRNA from 1 species
UACGGAGGGUGCGAGCGUUGUCCGGAAUCACUGGGCGUAAAGGGCGCGUAGGCGGCGCGGGAAGUCAACGGUGAAAGUUCGGGGCUCAACCCUGAAUCGGCCGUCGAUACUCCCGGGCUCGAGCACUGUAGAGGCAGAUGGAAUUCCGGGUGUAGCGGUGGAAUGCGUAGAGAUCCGGAAGAACACCGGUGGCGAAGGCGGUCUGCUGGGCAGUUGCUGACACUGAGGCGCGACAGCGUGGGGAGCAAACAGG